CCACACUGGCACUGAAACACGGGCCAGACUCCUACGGGAGGCAGCAGUGGGGAAUCUUGCACAAUGGGGGAAACCCUGAUGCAGCGACGCCGCGUGAGCGAUGAAGCCCUUCGGGGUGUAAAGCUCUUUCGGCAGGGAAGAUAGUGACGGUACCUGCAGAAGCAGCUGCGGCUAACUACGUGCCAGCAGCCGCGGUAAUACGUAGGCAGCAAGCGUUGUUCGGAGUUACUGGGCGUAAAGGGUGUGUAGGCGGUUCUUUAAGUUUGGUGUGAAAUCUCCCGGCUUAACCGGGAGGGUGCGCCGAAUACUGAGGGACUAGAGUACGGGAGAGGAAAGUGGAAUUCCUGGUGUAGCGGUGAAAUGCGUAGAUAUCAGGAGGAACACCGGUGGUGUAGACGGCUUUCUGGACCGUAACUGACGCUGAGACACGAAAGCGUGGGUAGCAAACAGGAUUAGAUACCCUGGUAGUCCACGCCCUAAACGAUGCAUAUUUGGUGUGGGCAGUUCAUUCUGUCCGUGCCGGAGCUAACGCGUUAAAUAUGCCGCCUGGGGAGUACAGUCGCAAGGCUGAAACUCAAAGGAAUUGACGG
rnacentral:rRNA from 1 species